UGGGGANUAUUGCACAAUGGGCGAAAGCCUGAUGCAGCGACGCCGCGUGAGGGAUGGAGGCCUUCGGGUUGUAAACCUCUUUCGCUCAUGGUCAAGCCGCAGCUUUGGGUUGUGGUGAGGGUAGUGGGUAAAGAAGCACCGGCUAACUACGCGCCAGCAGCCGCGGUAAUACGUAGGGUGCGAGCGUUGUCCGGAAUUAUUGGGCGUAAAGGGCUUGUAGGCGGUUUGUCGCGUCUGCCGUGAAAUCCUCUGGCUUAACUGGGGGCGUGCGGUGGGUACGGGCAGGCUUGAGUGCGGUAGGGGAGACUGGAACUCCUGGUGUAGCGGUGGAAUGCGCAGAUAUCAGGAAGAACACCGGUGGCGAAGGCGGGUCUCUGGGCCGUUACUGACGCUGAGGAGCGAAAGCGUGGGGAGCGAACAGGAUUANAUACCCUGGUAGUCCACGCUGUAAACGUUGGGCACUANGUGUGGGGGCCACCCGUGGUUUCUGCGCCGUAGCUAACGCUUUAAGUGNCCCGCCUGGGGAGUACGACCGCANGGUUG
rnacentral:rRNA from 1 species